GUGAGGUGAGCGCCCGCUCCUGCCAUGGCGGCGCUGCGGGACGUCUUUCGGCGGCCUUUCGGCGGCCCGCUCGCGGUGGGUUUCAGUUCCCCGGGCAGCGAGCCGACGGCAGCGGUGGUGUCCGUCAGCGCCUGUCCUGCGCCCCCGGCCUGCCGAAGAUCCCUUUGGAAGCGAAAAAACUGCUUUGAAGCAUCUAGGGGAAGCAGGCGGGAAUUUACUAUAAAUUUCUCACAGGUACAGCAGCUCUACAGAAGCAGCUUAAUUUCCCCCCGGCCGGCUGCAGGCAGUCAGCACAGCCACUCACCUCCGCGAGGCGCUGCCCCCCGAGCUCUGCUGCUGGCCGCGCUCGGUGCGGGACACGCGGUGCAGAAAGUGCCAUUUAGGAGUCUGCGCCAUACGGAUCGCGGGGCCAUUAUAAAGCCGGGCUGUGUCUGUGCUGUGCAUUCUCUGAGCUUGUUGGAGUGUGUUUGUUCACCUUUCUGUUUCGAGCGGUAGUGCGAAAAUCAUCGUUAACUUCAACACGCAUAAUUUGUGUUUCCUUUUCAGACCCUUUGUGGCGUAUCAUAAUGCUGGCCAAUCUCGUAUUUUUUCUUUGCCUGGCUAUUAAUGCUGCUUCUUAGCUUCUUCUCAUUCUCUAGUCAUACACGAUCCUGCCCCUCUGUGCUGUGGGGCCUCACCUGGAGUACUGCUUACAGAUGUGGAGUCCUCAGUACAGGAGAGACACGGACCUGUUGGAGGGUGUCCAGAGGAGGGCCACAAAAAUAAUCCCAGGGAUGGAACACCUCUCCUGUGAGGACAGGCUGGGAGAGCUGGGGCUGUUCAGCCUGGAGAAGGCACUGGGGAAACCUGAGAGUGGUCUUUCAGUAUCUAAAGGGGGGCUGUAAGAAGGAAGGGGACAGACUUUUUAGUAGGGUCUGUUGUGAAUUGGAAUUUCACACUUGGAAUUUCAUCACCCCAAUAGAAAUCAGGAGAGGGAAAUUGGUUUUGUGUGCCUCUGCAGAUAGGUCAGCAGUGGACAGGACCCAGUGACAGACAUAGAAGAGUUUGGUGCUUCUGACAACAGUGGAGCGUCGCUGAGGAUCCCAGAGCUGUGACUGCAGUUUUCCAAUUCGCAGGCUGUCUUGGCAGUAGAGGAAAUGUGAAGAAGAGCUAUGUGUCAUUUGAAUAGUGCUGUCAUCUUACCAAUUACUACUAUAGCUGCUGUACACAGGUGUUGCAAGGUCAUACCUUCACCCAUCCGAGGCAAAGACAUGAUGUUAUCUGCCUGAAAAUAUCUGUCUGGGCAAUCCUUCAACGAGACUUCUCCCACACAUCAAUCCAACUUUCUUUUUUCUCCUGUAACUUCUUGCUUCUUUCAUGUUGCACAAGAGGUUCCCUAAAACAUUAAUUUUUCCUCCUCCAGAUUCCUACACUUGAAUUGAAUAGAAUUUGGAGUGGUAUGAAGUGCCUCACACAGAGAAGAACCAGCAUUUUGAAGGACCUGCAGGUGCUGCUACCUGAAGGUAAAUAGCUAAUAACAUCAUUUCUGUGCAUUUCUCAAGUUUUCUAAUAUAUUCAGCAAGUUUCAUUACUCCUUUCUUAAAACCGGUAAGCAAUCUCCAACUUAUUAAAGAACUAAUUGCCUGUGUUGGAGACUCUACAGGCAAAAUCCUUGAGAUUGACCUUCCUACAGCUUGGGGGCAGGAGGGAGGGAAUCUCCAGUCCUGUUUCUGAGAUAAAACAGAGCCAUUAUGACCAGUAGAUAACGUCAUGCCUUCAAAAAGGUAUAUUUGGUCAUGUUCUGCUAUGAUGUGUCUGAGUGCAGGCAGGCAAAGAGCAGUAUGUAUCCAUUACCACUUUCUCUUUCCCUUAAACAUGUGCUCCUUUUUACGUAGGAAAGUGUAAGAAAAUAUGACUCUAACUUGAUUUUUUUUUUCUUCAGGUUAGUUUAACAACUGAAAAUACUCUAUCGUGAAUGGCCUCAAUAUAUCAUUCAGGUGGUAUUCUUAAAAUUAUAUUUUAAUCUCAAUUAAAAUGUGAAUAUCAGUUAUUUAAUGCAACCUAAAGGAAGUUUGUUUUGUUGAAAAAAAAAAAAAAAUGAUGAUCAGCCAUAGUUCUGGCCUGUAAUAAGUUCAAGUGUAUGAUGGCUUCCUGUGCUCAGGCUCACCAGGAAGGGGAAUCAGGACAGCGCACGUUGGCAGGUGGGAGUGUAAAUCCGGGUAGGAGGAGAACUCGUGUCAGGAGUGUGUCAAAUCAAUCUCUUCCAAGCGGGAUCCUCAAAAACCUAAAGGUUCAAAUUUGAAGUGUAUUCCACUCUGUGGAAAAAAAUAAUAAAUGAGAGCAUCAAUAUCUGCACUCUUCAGCUUUAAGCCUCCCAGGGGUACAGGCAAUCAGGCUGAUAAGUUGUAAUUUCACACCCUUUGCACCAGCUGCACUUAACUCAUCUGAUUUUUACCUAUGUCACCAGUAGCACCGCAGGGAAUUAGAAUGAGAGAACUAUUAAAAGCCUAAUGUAUUUUUUUGUAUGUAGGUUGUUUGCAUUUCUAAUGCCUAUUUUGAAGCCUUGUGUGAAGUCGAAAGUGGAGGUGAUAAUUCAUUAGCAAGCAAAAUCUAGAAGUAAGGUAUUAUGAAAAAAAAACCUUUUAUGGAGGGAAGACGGAGAACUUAAUGCUCAAGGUAAACAGUUUCAAUUAGGAAGUUCUUUGAAGUAUGAUGAGAGCAGUCCAAAAAGAAUCAUACAGACUGCCAAAAUAAAGACCGAAAAACAUUGAAAUUUAUGGAGCUUUUAAGGGCCAUUAACUUGAAGGCCGUUGCCUUUCUUUUUUCUUUCCCCCAUUCUAUUUUAAGAAAUGAAAAGGUGUUUAUUUUUCCCUUGGUCAAUUAGUCUGCAAUAGGAGAAAGGUAGAGAGACAUAUUUUGUAGAUGCUCUGAGAAUUUUAGGCAGAGAAAACUCUUCUUCUGACUGAGUUUCUCUCUUAAAAAAAUAAAGUAUAUUAAGAGCUGUAAACAGUCAGGAAUUGUGCUAUACGGAGUAAUUUUAGGUUAGGAAUAUAUGUGUCUAGAAUGUUAGGUAAAACUUUAAUCACUGAAUUUGUGGGGUAACUGUGGAAUACAUUUAUACCUUUUGCUUCUCUGUUAGAAGUUUGGAAGUUAGAUGUCCUGUUGAUGGAAGCUGUUUAGAAGUUAGAUGCCUGAAGCUUGGCAGCACUGCACACAAAACAGGAUGUUGCUGCCCACAGGUCCAGUGUCUCUAUCUUUGAGUGGCAGCAUUUGAUUUUUGCAGGGACAGUAAAGAGCAAGUGUUGCAGGGACUUGGUGUCUGAGCUGGGGGGAUAAUUACAUAUUUCUGCCCCCACCCAUAAUUAUCUCAGGAGGCAUUUCACCUCCAGGGUUUGGAAGACCUUUCUGUGUACUUGCGCUAGCACAGUGUGGAUGGGAAGAGGAAAACAACCAAGGCAGCCUGCACACAGAGCCUGAAUUAUUACCUGCCAGUGGGGCCAGCAGCUCUCACUGCUCUCCCAAGGCUGCAGAGCAGCAGGGAUGCUGCAUGGUGCUGGGUGGGACCACCUCCUGCAGCACGGCUGCUGCCUCACAUGGAGGGGGUAGGGGGGGGCGAAGCAGGACACUGCAAAGAUGGAGGGAGAAAAUGAGCUGUGCUGCUGCUGUGUGUGUGCCUGCCAGCCCUGGCCAUGCCUGCUGUCACACUUGGUUUUCCGUAAAAUUUGAUUGUUUUUGAUCACCGUUAUUGGUGUGAAAUGUUGUACCCUAAUAAGCUACCAGCAAAAUGCCUGUUGUCCUUAGCCCAACUGGAUCUAGCCAUUUAAAAUGCUUUAGAAGUCACAGCAUAAAUAUCAAAUGUUGAUAGACGCAAAGAAAUAAACUCUGGCAAUACCUGUGGUAUGCCUUCAACCAUAGUGGUGAAUAACAUUAAAAUCUCACUGCCCAGCACUCGUACCAAAAAUCAGGAUGCCUGUGUUUGGCUCACUUGUAGGCUGUGGCAACAUCAUAGUGUUCCCUCUUCAUGUGCCUAAUUCUUCACAUAGUUUGAGGACAAUAUGAACCAGAAUACAUGCAGUCCUUCACCUGUCUAUCACUACCUUCUUUCCUGCUCUCGGGAGAUACUGUUGAUCCUUCUUUCUCUUACAGAUUUGUCCAAACUUGUUAGCACUGGCAAAAGUAAUCUCCAUUUCCUCCUGGCUACUUGACAAAAGGAGGACAACAAACUUCUCUCUGCUGACUAGGAAUACAGUAAACAUUCAUGAUUUCAAGUAUGGUGAUAAGAGCGUAUUGCACCACAGUGCCAUCUCAUAGCAGUUUGUUCAGCUGAGCAUUCACUGGGCCAGCACAUCACCACUGUCAGCAUGCAAAUAAGCUCUCCCAUGCAGCUGAGAAUGAAGGCCAGAAGCCUGAAAAUAACCCAGCAAAGCAUGCCUGUUGUAAGGAAUGAGAGGUACUUGCCAACUUUUAAUCACUGGGCUUAGUGACUGGCAUGACAACAUUUUUCUGAUGGGGAAAUUAUUUACAGGCAGUUGGAAGGUCAGGAGGCUGUCUGAAACACUCAAUGGCAAAAUUAGAGUUAGCCUUUCAGUCAACCAUGUUGCUCAGGUACCUGCUUGGUGUUCCAGUGUUAACGUGCAGUACAUUCGAAGUGCAGCCACCUUCACUGUAUGUUUCAGUGUACAAAAUUACCUUCUAAUUAAGAAAUAAGUGCAGUGGUGGGGAGGAUUCCACUUUGAGUCUCAGCUUGGCUGUGAGACUCAGUGCAAGCCGUGUAGUGGGCUGUUAGAGUGGCUUGCUUGAUUCUGUUUCUUGUGUCAAACGUUUGUCAGUGGUGAUGAUGAAUAGUAGGGAAAAAUACUGAAUAAGCCCUAAGUGAUUAAUUAGAAUAUUAGUUUAGUAUUUCUGCUGCCAGACAGUCAUGCAGUCCCUGGCAUUACUGCAUAAGGUUUAAAAUGUUGAGAGAGGAAGAGGAAUUUCAAAUAUGUUUAUUCUUAUCCAGAUAAUCUCUGAAUUUAAACUCAAUAAAGCUUUUCACCAGAGUGAGAUGUUAACUAGCCAAUACUUUAUUCACACUUCAGUUAAACAACGUUUACCUCUGGUGAAAGGCACCCAAACUGUGCUACUCUGUGCUACCCUGUUUCUGUGGAAACUGUGUGUUGGAGUGGAAUAGGAAUAAUGGUGGAGAAAAGGAGAGCAGUAGCGUUUUGGCUGAAGUCCUGUUGGCCAGCCCCCGUUUCAGCUGGGAUAAGUCAGCCAAGCAAGGCCUCAGUGCUGGAGCCCCGACAGUUCUUUUUCCUCCUCCUCCUAACUUGUGCCGAGGGAGGAGUCUGCUUCACAGACACCAUUCAAAAAGUGCUUGCUAAAGCAAUUUAUCUGUAUUUUCCCCUGGUUUUUCAUGCAACAAGAAUUUUAGCCAGUCAGUAAUGUUAGUCAAUAGCUGCCUACACUGGUAGGGUAAGGUUUGUUCUGAAAAGAACUUCCAUUGACGCGUAUGUUGCUCAGCCACUGCUCUUCUAAAAAGCACCACUGUAUUCUUGGAAAGAAACUCUCCCAAAACUGAAAAGACACAUUUUUCAUCAUUCAGGGGUUUCCAAAAUAUGCAUAUGUUUGAUGGAUUGCCAGGAAAGACAGACAGCCUUGACCAGUAAACUCAGCUCUGUAUUCUCUCUUCUCUGGUAGCUGUUUCACUGACAUUCAUGUUGUUUUCUCCUGGAAUAAGGUAUCUUUCUUAAAAAUAAAAUAUGAAUUAACAGAAAAAUAUAUUUUAUUGUUUUUUCUGUUGUUAUGAUUUCUGUUAAUCAGUGAUUGCCUGCUACCUGUGUGUGUGAGUCAGAGUGAAAAAUCUAACGUGGUGAAGUUGUGAUUGAUGUCUUAAUACUGUAGAAGUAUCUGGUAGGGGUGGGGGUCUAUUUCUUCCACAUACACACAAAAAAUGACUGGCUUCUGAUUGUAGUCUGAGGCUCUGGACUGGAGGACCAGGGCAUUUUGCUGCCUAGCCUCAGUAUACACAUAUUGCUACAGAGGACCGAAAGGCAUUGUGCAGCACUCAUGGUAACCAACAUUCUGUAAAGAAUUCUAAAUCACUGCAGGAGAGGAGACAACAGAAAAAGCCGUUUGCAAGAAUGGAGAGUAUGGGAGAAAAUCAAUUAAGGAAACAGCAUUAUCUUUUCAAAUUCAGGUGUAAGUGUGUGCAGACCCAAGAAUUUCAACAGUUUCUUACAGGUGGAAGCUAAAGGGAAGAGCCUAGAUCAUGGUGAUGUUGGCUGUACAUGUUCGUGCUUCUGUGUGGAAUCAGGGACACCUGCUUCUUGGUCUGCUGCUGCUUCAGCUUCUUGGUG
ensembl:lncRNA